GUCGCAUGCUCCCGGCCGCCAUGGCGGCCGCGGGAAUUCGAUUCGUAUUACCGCGGCUGCUGGCACGGAGUUAGCCGGUGCUUCUUCUGCGGGUAACGUCAAUCAACAACGCUAUUCACGCUGUUGCCUUCCUCCCCGCUGAAAGUACUUUACAACCCGAAGGCCUUCUUCAUACACGCGGCAUGGCUGCAUCAGGCUUGCGCCCAUUGUGCAAUAUUCCCCACUGCUGCCUCCCGUAGGAGUCUGGGCCGUGUCUCAGUCCCAGUGUGGCUGGUCAUCCUCUCAGACCAGCUAGGGAUCGUCGCCUAGGUGAGCCAUUACCCCACCUACUAGCUAAUCCCAUCUGGGUUCAUCCGAUGGCGUGAGGCCCGAAGGUCCCCCACUUUACUCCAAAGAGGUUAUGCGGUAUUAGCCACCGUUUCCAGUGGUUAUCCCCCUCCAUCGGGCAGAUCCCCAGACAUUACUCACCCGUCCGCCGCUCGCCGGCAGGGAAGCAAGCUUCCCCCCGCUGCCGCUCGACUUGCAUGUGUUAGGCCUGCCGCCAGCGUUCAAUCUGAGCCAUGAUCAAACUCUAAUCACUAGUGAAUUCGCGGCCGCCUGCAGGUCGACCAUAUGGGAGAGCUCCCAACGCGU
rnacentral:rRNA from 1 species